AGAGUUUGAUCAUGGCUCAGGAUCAACGCUGGCGGCGUGCCUAACGCAUGUAAGUCGAACGCAGUGCCUUCGGGCGCUGAGUGGCGAACGGGUGAGUAACACGUGAGUAACCUGCCCUUAACUCUGGGAUAAGCCUGGGAAACUGGGUCUAAUACCGGAUAUGACUCCUCAUCGCAUGGUGGGGGGUGGAAAGCUUUAUUGUGGUUUUGGAUGGACUCGCGGCCUAUCAGCUUGUUGGUGAGGUAAUGGCUCACCAAGGCGACGACGGGUAGCCGGCCUGAGAGGGUGACCGGCCACACUGGGACUGAGACACGGCCCAGACUCCUACGGGAGGCAGCAGUGGGGAAUAUUGCACAAUGGGCGAAAGCCUGAUGCAGCGACGCCGCGUGAGGGAUGACGGCCUUCGGGUUGUAAACCUCUUUCAGUAGGGAAGAAGCGAAAGUGACGGUACCUGCAGAAGAAGCGCCGGCUAACUACGUGCCAGCAGCCGCGGUAAUACGUAGGGCGCAAGCGUUAUCCGGAAUUAUUGGGCGUAAAGAGCUCGUAGGCGGUUUGUCGCGUCUGCCGUGAAAGUCCGGGGCUCAACUCCGGAUCUGCGGUGGGUACGGGCAGACUAGAGUGAUGUAGGGGAGACUGGAAUUCCUGGUGUAGCGGUGAAAUGCGCAGAUAUCAGGAGGAACACCGAUGGCGAAGGCAGGUCUCUGGGCAUUAACUGACGCUGAGGAGCGAAAGCAUGGGGAGCGAACAGGAUUAGAUACCCCCGUAGUCC
rnacentral:rRNA from 1 species